AAACCAACAGGGAUUGCCUUAGUAACGGCGAGUGAAGCGGCAAAAGCUCAAAUUUGAAAUCUAGCACUUUCAGUGUUCGAGUUGUAAUUUGAAGAAGGUAACUUUGGAAUUGGCUCUUGUCUAUGUUCCUUGGAACAGGACGUCACAGAGGGUGAGAAUCCCGUGCGAUGAGAUGUCCAAUUCUAUGUAAAGUGCUUUCGAAGAGUCGAGUUGUUUGGGAAUGCAGCUCUAAGUGGGUGGUAAAUUCCAUCUAAAGCUAAAUAUUGGCGAGAGACCGAUAGCGAACAAGUACAGUGAUGGAAAGAUGAAAAGAACUUUGAAAAGAGAGUGAAAAAGUACGUGAAAUUGUUGAAAGGGAAGGGCUUGAGAUCAGACUUGGUAUUUUGUGUUCCUUAUUCUUUUUGGAUUUGGUUCCUCACAGCUUACCGGGCCAGCAUCGGUUUGGAUGGUAGGAUAAUGACAUUGGAAUGUAGCUUUGCUUCGGUGAAGUGUUAUAGACUUUGUUGAUACUGCCUAUCUAGACCGAGGACUGCGUCUUUACUAGG
rnacentral:rRNA from 1 species